rnacentral:misc_RNA from 1 species
CAGAGUUCAUGCCCUUAGGGGUAGAUCUCCCACCCUAUGUUAUCGUUACCUUUGUUGCUUUGGCGGGCCGUCAGGCCUCGGUCAGGCUACCGGCUUCGGCUGGUAAGCGCCCGCCAGAGGACCCCAAACUCUGAAUAUUGGUGUCGUCUGAGUACUAUAUAAUAGUUA